UUUCUUCUUCUUCAAAGUUCAAUUUUCUCCACUUCUCCUCUCAAUCUCAUUCACCUUCAAGGCUUCAAGCAAGACCUUGAUGACUCAACCUCCGUCGUCGCCGUUCCAUCGCUGUCAUACUAUCUCCAUCUCCAUCGUCUUGACUCUUCGUGUCCGACCGUCUGUCUCGACUCUUUUUUGUUUCGACUGUCAGUGUCCAUCUCUGUGUCUCUGUCUCCAAUCGUCUCUGUCUCCGACCGUCUCCAUCUCCGUCUCCAGUUGUCUCGUCCGAUCGUCUUGGUUGUCUCCGUCUUCGUCUCCGAUUUUGUUGUCUCCAUUUUUUUUACUUUGAUUAGUUAGUGAUUCAUCUCUAAGUCUAAACUUUGCCAUCUUUUUUUAAUUUCAUAUCUCCACUUCUCCGUCUCCAAGACCGUUGCCUAAAUUUCAGAUUUCGAGUGACAGAUUUCAAGGUAGAGAUCGAGCUCCCGAUGCCUGAUAACUGCCAAAGUCUAUUUUCUCCUAAAAGCUUCCAGAUCAAGAUUCAUACGUGGGUGGAGUUGUACAUUGUGUCUGUUUAUAUUGUAAAUGUCUUUGUAAGAACUGGAUAGUUUAUGGUUGUGUAAGCACUAGAUGUCGUGGUUGUGUAAACCCCAGUUGGAUAUGUUUUUGAUUGUGAUAUCUCUAUCAGGUUAUUUUCCAAACCGAAUUAUGUCAGGACUGCAUUUCAUGUGUGUCUAAAGGUUUUCAGGGAUUCCGCUA